UACAGAGGGUGCGAGUGUUACUCGGAAUUACUGGGCGUAAAGCGCGCGUAGGCGGCUUUGCAAGUCGGGUGUGAAAUCCCCAGGCUUAACCUGGGAACUGCAUUCGAGACUGCAUUGCUAGAGUAUGGGAGAGGGAAGUGGAAUUUCCGGUGUAGCGGUGAAAUGCGUAGAUAUCGGAAGGAACAUCAGUGGCGAAAGCGACUUCCUGGACCAAUACUGACGCUCAUGUGCGAAAGCGUGGGGAGCAAACAGG
rnacentral:rRNA from 1 species